CAACAACGACCCCCACUAAUACGACCCUUCAUCCUUGCAGAGUUACAUACGACCUGUGGAUCAGCGAACAGUCGGACUCGUCUUCCAGGCUCUAGAUGACCUCUUCCACCGCGGGGUCAUCACCGUGACCUGCAUGACCUCUCUUGGUGAACUUCACGUCAUGUCAACCAAGGUCGAGCUGCCCAACAGGGACUACCUUAGUGCCCAGGAAUAUUACUAUAAUACUGGUAAAAAGAAAUGUGUAUCAAUGGACGUCGUGUUGGCAACUCUCCUGCUUCUGCACCUUCUUUGUGUUUACGUAAGCUGUUCGCUCUAAGAUUUGUACCCAUUAAAAAUAAUAAAAAAAAAACAAAAAACUUAUCACUAAUCACUAUGUAUAUGUGUAAAUAAAUGUGUAAAUGUUUU